rnacentral:tRNA from 1 species
AGGAGACUUUCAUAAUUGGUAAUAUGAGCUGGGCUGUAAACUCAGUAGCUGCAAGCUUUCAAGAGUUCGAGUCUCUUGUCUCCUA